rnacentral:rRNA from 1 species
UACGUAGGGUGCGAGCGUUAAUCGGAAUUACUGGGCGUAAAGCGUGCGCAGGCGGUUUUGUAAGCCAGAUGUGAAAUCCCCGGGCUUAUCCUGGGAAUGGCAUUUGGGACUGCAAGGCUAGAGUGUGGCAGAGGAGACUGGAAUUCCUGGUGUAGCAGUGAAAUGCGUAGAUAUCGAGAGGAACACCAGUGGCGAAGGCGAGUCCCUGGACAACUACUGACACUGAGGCACGAAAGCUAGGGGAGCAAACAGG